UACGGAGGAUCCGAGCGUUAUCCGGAUUUAUUGGGUUUAAAGGGUGCGCAGGCGGGAGAUUAAGUCGGCGGUGAAAUUUUGCAGCUCAACUGGAAAAGGGCCUUCGAUACUGGUUUCCUUGAGUGUGGAUGAAGUAGGCGGAAUUUGUGGUGUAGCGGUGAAAUGCUUAGAUAUCACGAGGAACUCCGAUUGCGCAGGCAGCUAACUAAACCACUACUGACGCUCAGGCACGAAGGCGUGGGGAUCAAACAGG
rnacentral:rRNA from 1 species